GAACACUAACCUUGUCGGAGGCACCGAUUCUUCUCUUCUACCCACUGGAACACUGGAACCCUACAGAAGACGAUAGCACGAUUGAGAAAUACAAGGGUUAUAUGACAAAGAGAUACUUGGAGAAAUAAUAAAAAGUUUUAGGAAAACCCCAAACAAGGAAAAGGGAACAAAAAAGUUGAAUCAUCCGGUACCACAUAAGUUUUCUAACGUAGUAUAUGUGAAGAUUUGGCAUGUGUGGGGAAGGAACUUGAAAGAUUGUUUAUUUGACUGGUUAUCAGGUUGAAAAAAUAUUUUUGGAGAACAAAUUUAAUGCUGUCAUGCACUUUGCUGCUGUUGCAUACGUGGGAGAAAGCACAAUGGAUCCUCUUAAGUAUUAUCACAAUAUUACAUCAAACACUUGUUGGUAUUGGAGGCUAUGGCCAAGCAUGAUGUGAAGACAUUGAUAGAUAGGAGCCCCUGCGAACGUUACUUGCAUACACUGUGACAAAAGAAAAGACUCCGAAAUGAAUAGAACUGUGGGUGCAAGGAAAGAAGCGAAGACCGCGGCCAGUAAACAAAAACUGUAGUAUGCCCGUAUGUUUAAAAGGGCCGGGCCAGCCAAGCCCGGCCCAGUUAGCCUGAGGUAUGGUUUGGACCGGUAAUUAACCCGAAUUUUUACUUUCUUAAACUAAAGUAAUAACAAAAUACAUUAUGAAAAAUUGUUUGACGACAAUAUAUAAUAUGAUCAACUCGUUAUAAUAAAAAUAAAGUGAAAAGGUGUUAAAAAUCAUUUGUAACAUGUCAAACUGUUGUGCUUUUUACAUAUUUUAAAAUAUUUUAAUAAAUGUUUGAGGUUUUUGUUAACAUGGAUACUUUAAUGUAGUAAUUAUCAUUGUCAUGUUAAAAAAUGUGUGCUUAAAAUUAUAGAAUUCCAUUAAUAUAAAUAUAAAACUUUAUAUCAAGGACAGUCACAUAAGGGAAAACAUGAAGUUAGGUUUUGAAAUAUGGUCAUACCAACUAAUUCAAAAUAGAAAUACUCUUGACAAAUUUGAAGUUGAAUGUAAGGGCCAGAGAAAUUUCUAAAACAAGGCAGACAGGCCCAUAGAAAUUAAAGGCAGCCUUAGGGGCAGGGGGUUUUACUAAGUCAGAGUUCAUUUUAGCUAAAAUUCUCUCUCUCUAAAAGGUGGGUUCUUUAAAAGCUUUGCCUUCUCUCUAAACCUUGCUCCACCUUCUCUCUACUCUUUCUCAAAUUUUCAUCGUUUCAUUUUCAAAUACGUGGUGCCCCACGUUUCCAAAGUCGAGAGCUUCCAAAUCAUCCGAUUAGUUUCGUGUCUCUCCGCUGAUAAGGUACUGUCGAAAUUACCUCUAUGCGAAGAUACUUUUAGGGCGUUUUUUUAGGAACUGUGCUGUGAGAACCAAAAGAGGAGAAUGAAGUCAAUGUGGAGAACGUCUUGGAGGAGAAUGGAGAUGUAGCUGCCUAGAUGCUCUAGGAUUUCAUAGCCUCUCUUGUUAUUCGAAACACUUUCUUUUUAUGUUUUUCUUUUAUAUACUUUAGUUCUUCAAGUUUUAAAUUUCUCCUAAAUUUGGAUAACUUUAAUCCCUAAUUCUUAAGUACUUAACUGUCAUCCUAAAUUCUGCUUUCUAAUAUUGUAUGUGAUGACGUCUUAUUAGUAUAUGCAUGACGUAUAUUAUUGGGAUGUCACAUUGAGUAUGAACAUGUGAAUGCUAUGUAAUUUA